UAAAAGGUAUAAGUUAUGACAUCAGUAGAAAAUGGUACAAUAAUUUUCCCUAAAACUACAAAUUAUGACAUUACAUAUCAACAAAUACUAGAGCAGAAGAAAAAUAUUGGACACAUAACCAAGCACAAUCCCAACUUCAGCUCCCAGUUCUCAUCAUUGAGAGCAAGAAAGCAGUACUUUCAGAAAUUUCGACAGAAAGUCUUGUUUUCCGCCACUGGAACAAGAGGAUAGCACAAACACAUUACAAAGACUCUGGACUUGUGGAGGGUCUGAUUCUCGAGGGCAUCCGCACGCGUCCUUGUAACUCACUUCUGAACCUAUAAUUUUUGGGGGUAAUGGACAUCUUGUUCAAGGAAUAGGCAAACUCGUUGAGAGCAAGAUCAUCAAAACUCAUGGAAAUUCCAUCAUCUCUAGUGUUGACCCCAUUUUCACCAUCUUCGGCAAUAUCUUCAUCAAUGCUAACUUCACUGUGAUCAUCAUCUUCAUCGUCGUCAUCAUCAUAAGUUGUUCUCACCAUUGACCAGUAAACGAAGUUUGGAUGAAUGGAUCUUCAUAAUUUUAAAAGAAAGUUUUUAACGCUUUAGUUCUAGAUCCAAA
rnacentral:lncRNA from 1 species